AAGAACACUAACUGUAGGCAUAGUAAUUGCUCUUGGAUGGGGAUUUAAAGCAAGGUUCCUAUUGAUCUCCUUCAGAUAAUGUGGCCUCUUCAUUUUCAACUGGGAAGGACCUGCAUGGACUUGAGAAUACAGAGCCAAUCGAAGUUCAAGAGGGAUCUCUCGUAUGCAGUGCUGCUCCUUUGCCUCGUCAAGAUGAAGAAUUGGUGCAGUGGUGAGGCUGG